rnacentral:lncRNA from 1 species
GGCGUCGUUAGGAGUGGAGAUGCCCCUUUCCGUUUUCCAGACUCUCUACAUACCCAAGGUUACUGCCGGGGGGGAUAAGACCCGGGGUUGGUACUACCUGACGUCAUGGGGUUCCCACACUCCAUUUGUGAUCGAUCUGCCGAGCUCCAUCAAGGAAUGGAAGAGCUCUUGGUGCUGGGCAGCGGGGCGAUGGGACACAAUGGAGGGGGACCCCCUGGCGCCUCUUACAGUCCCGGCGAAGUUUUCAACACUUAGUGAGUAUAGUAGUUGAUAUUUUGUUUCUCUUCGGUCGUGCUUGUGUUUAACAGAUAUGUUUCUUUUCGCAGGUUCCCUCCCUCGGUACGAGCUAUCGACAGAGGACUUUGACAUUAUCUGUGUUAUUUAUCAGCUGCCUCAGAAGAAGAGGUCAUAUCACAGGCUGAUUCGGAAAAACAUACACUUCAUCACUCACGACUUAAUGGCGUCCCAAGGUAAUAGGACCGAAGCCCACACUUUUUUAACCCGAACUCCCUAUACCUAUAUUAAUUCCUCAUUCGUUUCUUUGCAGAUAACAUCAACAAGAAGCUGCCAGUAUGCCCCGACUUCAAAACUAUUCAGAAAAUGAUGGCUGAAGCAAGGGCGCUGAAGGCCUCCUCUUCUUCGUAUAAAAAGCAAAUGGAGGAGCUGGUGGAGGCCAGUAAGAGACUUCAGCCUCCGACGGAGGAGGAGGUUCAGGAGGAUCCAGAGGCUGACCUCCGAAGGAAGGGCAAGAAGAGUGCUGCCCCUCCCAGACGCCCAACUGUGGCGAGGCCACCCCCAGUUAUGCGGCAGACAACUAUUCCCACGGGGGUGGCCCUCCCAGAGAGAAACCCCACUGCUACGGAGCCUGUCGCUGCCCCGGACACGGCGCCCCUUGCGGCCGUACCUAUUGAACAUGUUCCGGGGCAGCAGAGGAGGAAAAGGGCCCGCUCCAGCAAAGAAGUUGACUUCCUCGGAACCAGUUCAGAAGAGCCAGUAAGGGAGGUACUGGAGGCUCUCCCUCCGGAAACAGCUGCAGUGGCGGUGGUCCACAGCAAGUAUUGGACCGCAGAGUGGAGGGACCACACCGCCUCCUGCACUGCUGAAGACUUGGUGGCGGCGAAUAGCGCCUGCGUGGCCCGGGCACUAAGCACAAGUAUCCAACUCGAG